GGGUAUGUGAAGGUGAUGAUAUGUACGAAGGCAUGGGAUGAUGCGUGGUACAAUGUGAAAUACAAGUUAGUGGGAGAAAAGGGUGUAAGGAGUUAGAUGAGUGUGAAGGAAAUAGAUACAGUAUGCAUGAAGUGUGAUGAACGGUGUAUGGCAUUGGAUAUGUUGGAGGGUAACGGUGAGUAUUGUUAGUAGAUGAUGGGUAUGAUAGGCAUGAAGAUAAGAAG
rnacentral:lncRNA from 1 species